UUUCAGUGAUGAAGACAUUACUGAUUCACUAUCUGGACACGUACUUGCAGUUACAAGAGGGAACAAGAAAAUAGAAUUUAAAAUUUCAUUCCUGAAGUACGUGCCUGGCAGAUAUGCGUAUUACUCAAUUUGCAGUGAAGAAGGAGGUGACAGAAAAGUAGAUUACAGAUACGUUGUAUCUCACGGUCCCCUAAACAGCGAUGAAGUGGCGGACAUACGAAGCCUAGAAGCUCAGUACAAAUUUUCAGGAGCUCUCAAAAACAUUUAAAAAGUUUUGUCAAUGAUUAUAAGUUGAUAAAAAAUACUAAAAUUAUACUUAUAGCAAUAAAUAUACCAUGAAAAACUAUAAUUAUG